UGCUGUCCAGCUUUUGCAGCUAAGGGCUGUGAAGUUCUUUUCUAGAACACAGUCUUGCAUUCUUCCCAGACUUGCUGUGGAAAAGGCAUUUCAUUCUCCUUUCAAACAUC